rnacentral:rRNA from 1 species
AUAUUGGUCAAUGGGCGGAAGCCUGAACCAGCCAUCCCGCGUGCAGGAAGAAGGCGCUAAGCGUUGUAAACUGCUUUUGCAGGGGAAGAAACUUCCGGUUGCGACCGGGACUGACGGUACCCUGUGAAUAAGCAUCGGCUAACUCCGUGCCAGCAGCCGCGGUAAUACGGAGGAUGCGAGCGUUAUCCGGAUUCACUGGGUUUAAAGGGUGCGUAGGCGGGCUGAUAAGUCAGUGGUGAAAUUUUACAGCUUAACUGUAAACGUGCCAUUGAUACUGUCAGUCUUGAGUGUGGUCAAGGUAGGCGGAAUGUGUAAUGUAGCGGUGAAAUGCUUAGAUAUUACACAGAACACCGAUUGCGAAGGCAGCUUACUGGGCCACCACUGACGCUGAGGCACGAAAGCGUGGGGAGCAAACAGG